GACGAACGCUGGCGGCGUGCUUAACACAUGCAAGUCGAACGGAAAGGCCCCUUUGGGGGUUCUCUAGUGGCGAACGGGUGCGUAACACGUGAGUAACCUGCCCUUGACUUCGGGAUAACUUCAGGAAACUGGGGCUAAUACCGGUUAGGAAUCCUUGCUUCAUGGUGGGGGUUGGAAAGCUUCGGCGGUUUUGGAUGGACUGGCGGCUUAUCUGCUUGUUGGUGGGGUAGUGGCUUACCAAGGCUUUUUCGGGUAGCCGGCCUGAGAGGGCGACCUGCCACAUAGGGACUGAGAGACGGCCCAGGCACCGACGGGAGGCAGAAGGGGGGAAUAUUGCACAAGGGGCGGAAGCCGGAUGAAGCAGGGCCGCGGGCGGGAGGACGGCCUUAGGGUUGAAGAACGCAUUCAGCAGGGGCGGAGCUUGUGGUGACGGUACCUGCAGAAGAAGCACCGGCUAACUACGUG
rnacentral:rRNA from 1 species